rnacentral:rRNA from 1 species
UACGUAGGGUGCGAGCGUUGUCCGGAAUUAUUGGGCGUAAAGAGCUCGUAGGCGGUGUGUCACGUCGGCCGUGAAAACCUGCAGCUUAACUGUGGGCGUGCGGUCGAUACGGGCAUCACUGGAGUUCGGCAGGGGAGACUGGAAUUCCCGGUGUAGCGGUGAAAUGCGCAGAUAUCGGGAGGAACACCGGUGGCGAAGGCGGUUCUCUGGGCCUUACCUGACGCUGAGGAGCGAAAGCGUGGGGAGCGAACAGG